rnacentral:rRNA from 1 species
CGAGUUUGAUCAUGGCUCAGAACGAACGCUGGCGGCAUGCCUAACACAUGCAAGUCGAACGAAGCCUUCGGGCUUAGUGGCGCACGGGUGCGUAACACGUGGGAAUCUGCCCUUCGGUUCGGAAUAACAGUUAGAAAUGACUGCUAAUACCGGAUGAUGACGAAAGUCCAAAGAUUUAUCGCCGAAGGAUGAGCCCGCGUAGGAUUAGGUAGUUGGUAGGGUAAUGGCCUACCAAGCCGACGAUCCUUAGCUGGUCUGAGAGGAUGAUCAGCCACACUGGGACUGAGACACGGCCCAGACUCCUACGGGAGGCAGCAGUGGGGAAUAUUGGACAAUGGGCGAAAGCCUGAUCCAGCAAUGCCGCGUGAGUGAUGAAGGCCUUAGGGUUGUAAAGCUCUUUUACCAGGGAUGAUAAUGACAGUACCUGGAGAAUAAGCUCCGGCUAACUCCGUG